GAUGAACGCUGGCGGCGUGCCUAAUACAUGCAAGUCGAGCGAACAGAUGAGGAGCUUGCUCCUCUGACGUUAGCGGCGGACGGGUGAGUAACACGUGGAUAACCUACCUAUAAGACUGGGAUAACUUCGGGAAACCGGAUCUAAUGCCGGAUAAUAUAUUGAACCGCAUGGUUCAAUAGAGAAAUACGGUUUUUCUGUUACUUAUAGAUGGAUCCGCGCUGCAUUAGCUAGUUGGUAAGGUACCGGCUUACCAGGGCAACGGUGCGUAGCCGACGUGAGAGGGAGAUCGGGCACCAUGGAACUGAGACACGUUCGAGACUCCUACGGGAGGCAGAAAUGGUGAAUGGUGCGCGAUGGGCGAAAGCCUGAGAGAGCAACGCUGCUUUGGUGAAGAAGGUCUGCGGUACGGAAAACGUGGUUAUUGGGGAAGAACGAAUGUGUAAGUAACGAUGCACGUCUGAACGGUACCGAUACAGAAGGCCGCGGCAAACUAGGU
rnacentral:rRNA from 1 species